rnacentral:rRNA from 1 species
UAGGGAAUAUUGCGCAAUGGGGGAAACCCUGACGCAGCGACGCCGCGUGAGUGAUGAAGGCCUUCGGGUCGUAAAGCUCUGUUGCAGGGGAAUAAGAAAGUGAAGGUACCCUGCGAGGAAGGAUCGGCUAACUUCGUGCCAGCAGCCGCGGUAAGACGAGGGAUCCUAGCGUUGCUCGGAAUCAUUGGGCGUAAAGCGGGUGUAGGGGGCUUUAUAAGUCAGAUGUGAAAGCCCAGGGCUUAACCCUGGAAGUGCAUUUGAUACUGUGAAGCUUGAGUGUUGGAGAGGUUGUCGGAAUACCUGGUGUAGUGGUGAAAUACGUAGAUAUCAGGUGGAACACCAGAGGCGAAGGCGGAUAACUGGCCAAACACUGACCCUGAGACCCGAAAGCGUGGGGAUC